ACUCCUACGGGAGGCAGCAGUGGGGAAUUUUGGACAAUGGGCGAAAGCCUGAUCCAGCAAUGCCGCGUGUGUGAAGAAGGCCUUCGGGUUGUAAAGCACUUUUGUCCGGAAAGAAAUCCUUGGCUCUAAUACAGUCGGGGGAUGACGGUACCGGAAGAAUAAGCACCGGCUAACUACGUGCCAGCAGCCGCGGUAAUACGUAGGGUGCGAGCGUUAAUCGGAAUUACUGGGCGUAAAGCGUGCGCAGGCGGUUUGCUAAGACCGAUGUGAAAUCCCCGGGCUCAACCUGGGAACUGCAUUGGUGACUGGCAGGCUAGAGUAUGGCAGAGGGGGGUAGAAUUCCACGUGUAGCAGUGAAAUGCGUAGAGAUGUGGAGGAAUACCGAUGGCGAAGGCAGCCCCCUGGGCCAAUACUGACGCUCAUGCACGAAAGCGUGGGGAGCAAACAGGAUUAGAAACCCUAGUAGUCCC
rnacentral:rRNA from 1 species